rnacentral:misc_RNA from 1 species
UCCGGUUUAACACCGGCAGUCCCUCUAGAGUGCCCAACUGAAUGCUGGCAACUAAAGGCAAGGGUUGCGCUCGUUGCGGGACUUAACCCAACAUCUCACGACACGAGCUGACGACAGCCAUGCAGCACCUGUAAUCAAGCCAUUGCUGGAAGACGAUUUCUCGUACUUUUCUUGACUAUUUCAAACCCAGGUAAGGUUCUUCGCGUUGCAUCGAAUUAAACCACAUGCUCCACCGCUUGUGCGGGCCCCCGUCAAUUUCUUUGAGUUUUAAUCUUGCGACCGUACUUCCCAGGCGGAAUACUUAACGCGUUAGCUUAGUCACUGAAGGGGUCAAUACCUCCAACAACGAGUAUUCAUCGUUUACGGCGUGGACUAC